UGGUGGAAUGUGCGAUUUCAUAGAUAGCGUUGUUAUAGCUCAUGAUAGUCUUUUGGAUACCGCUGUAACAAUAACUCACGAGAUAGGCCAUUUAUUCGGUGCAAAUCAUGAUGUAAAGUUUCCAGAAUGCAAACAUUAUACCUCAAGUGGCAUCAUGGGUUCCUCUUUUAAUCCUAUAAGACAUAACGUUUGGUCUCAAUGUAGUGUGAAGGCCAUUCAUAAAACUUUGAAAUCUGGAAUUGGCAAUUGUUUAUUGAAUUUAACUUCUGA